UGGGGAAUUUUGGACAAUGGGCGAAAGCCUGAUCCAGCAAUGCCGCGUGUGUGAAGAAGGCCUUCGGGUUGUAAAGCACUUUUGUCCGGAAAGAAAUGGCUCUGGUUAAUACCUGGGGUCGAUGACGGUACCGGAAGAAUAAGGACCGGCUAACUACGUGCCAGCAGCCGCGGUAAUACGUAGGGUCCAAGCGUUAAUCGGAAUUACUGGGCGUAAAGCGUGCGCAGGCGGUUGUGCAAGACCGAUGUGAAAUCCCCGAGCUUAACUUGGGAAUUGCAUUGGUGACUGCACGGCUAGAGUGUGUCAGAGGGGGGUAGAAUUCCACGUGUAGCAGUGAAAUGCGUAGAGAUGUGGAGGAAUACCGAUGGCGAAGGCAGCCCCCUGGGAUAACACUGACGCUCAUGCACGAAGCGUGGGGAGCAAACAGGAUUAGAUACCCUGGUAGUCCACGCCCUAAAGCGAUGUCAACUAGUUGUUGGGAUUCAUUUCCUUAGUAACGUAGCUAACGCGUGAAGUUGACCGCCU
rnacentral:rRNA from 1 species